CAAACGGCCGCCGCCCAACCCUCGCCUCUGCCCUAGGGAGUCCGUCGCUGGACCCUCGCCGUCGGCCUCCUGCGCGGCGCAUCUUCUUCAGGUUCCUCCCCAAUCCCGUUUCUCCUCCCCGACGACGACCUCUCUCCUCCUCCCAAUGGUGGCACGCCGCCUCUCCCAGCAAUGGAGCCGGACGGGGAUGGACGAGGUGGCAGGCCGGAGAAGGCGACGUGGGCGGGCAGCGGCGCGCCGCUUUGAGAAAGUCGUCCACGACCCCGUGGCUCGAGCUCUCCGGUCAAGGCGGCGCCUCUCUGUCCCCGUUCGCACCGCACGGUUGCAGAGCGAGGGCUCCAAUGAUGGCGGCUCAGCGAGGCAGAGGGGUUGGGUUUGGUGGCGGGGCGUCACCAUCCUCUCCUGCCCGUGUGGGGCAGUGAAAACCUAGAUCGCGGGGACGCCCAAUCCCCGCGUCUCCUCUCUUUUCCCCAAUCCCGCCUCUCCUCGAAUUGGUUGGCCGCCGGCCUGUUCGGAGGAGCGGCCGUCCUCGUCCGGAGGAGGGGGACGAGGAUUGUGGCGGCAGCACCCGAGGUCGCGUAAAGCAGCAGUAGGUUGAGGUCGAGGGAGCGGCAGCGGCGGCGGUGCUGUCCGCGGCGGACACGAAGGUUUUUUGGGGGUGGGAGUGCAGGUAAGCCGGCCGCGGUUGACGAUGCUGCCGGCCGCAUUUGCAAUGGGUGGAUGACUCCGCUCAAAAGCAAAAAGGUUGUCGCUGACCAUGAUCCCAGUUCCCAGGCGCCCACUAGCAUGGAAGGGGCAAAGUACGGAGCUUUGGUUAAGGUUGCUCACCAAUGAUCUGGAAGUGUUUUUGUUCUGGGUAAUUGCAUGAUUGAGGAAGAAACUGGUUAUUCCAAAAUGUGCUAUUGCAGAUCCAAGGAGCUUUGGUUAAGGUUGCUCACCAAUGAUCUGGAAGUGUUUUUGUUCUGGGUAAUUGCAUGAUUGAGGAAGAAACUGGUUAUUCCAAAAUGUGCUAUUGCAGAUCCAAGAGCCACGGUGGCGGUGGCGGGCGACCCAGCCAUGGUGCCGACUGGACACGUAAGGGGUGGCCGCAGGGAGCAAUCAGCAACAGCGACGGCUGGACACGGCAGCGGCAGCAGCAGGGACCUCCCGAGCGACAAUUCCUCUUCCUCGCCUCCUCCUACUCUCGACUGUUCGUUGAGGGUUUGAUG